rnacentral:rRNA from 1 species
AUCCUGGCUCAGAACGAACGCUGGCGGCAAGCUUAACACAUCCAAGUCGAACGGAUUAUUCUUUAUAGCUUGCUAUAAAGAAUAGUUAGUGGCAGACGGGUGAGUAAUGCAUAGGAAUCUACCUAGUUGUAUGGGAUAGCCCCUAGAAAUGGUGGGUAAUACUGUAUAAUCCCUGCGGGGGAAAGAUUUAUCGCUAUUAGAUGAGCCUAUGUUAGAUUAGCUAGUUGGUAGGGUAAAGGCCUACCAAGGCGAUGAUCUAUAGCUGGUCUGAGAGGAUGAUCAGCCACACUGGAACUGAGAUACGGUCCAGACUCCUACGGGAGGCAGCAGUGGGGAAUAUUGGACAGUGGGCGCAAGCCUGAUCCACCUAUGCCGCGUGA